rnacentral:lncRNA from 1 species
UGGAUUUUGGUGAUGAAGUUCAAAAUUUCUAUAAAGAUUUGUAUGAAUAAAAAUUAAAAGAUAUUAAAAUUUAUUUGAAUAUAAUGAAGAAACAAGAAAAAUAGAUGGAUAAAAACUUCAAAGAUAUUCAAUAUCAACCUUAUGAUUAUUUGAUUAAAGAUGGAUUUUUAUGAAAGAAGCCAAAAAGAGGUGACAAAAUUCUACUAAAGAUAGUAAAAGACCUUGAAACGAAAUUCAAAGUUUUAAAAGAAUAUUAGGAUAUGCUUUAGAUAAGAUAUAAGAAAAUUUGAGCUAUAUAUAUUAAGAUCAAAGAAAGAUAUUAGAGAAAGAACUUAUACAAGGAUAUAAAAG